GGCACAGACCGCCUUAUCGCCGUUUUGAGCAAUCAAAAGGGAGGAAAGUCCGGACACCUUAGAGAAGCAUAGCGGGUAACUCCCGUCGGUUUUGUCUGCAAAGGCGAGAUUAGGACAAGUGCAACAGAAAGUAUGUACAGGUAAUGCUGUAGUGAAACCAGGUAAACUCUAUGCGGUGAAAUAUCAAGUAUAUCAGCAUUUAAGGGCUUCUCGUCCGUUGCUGAAGGGUAGAUAGCUUGAGUCAUACAGUAAUGUAUGAUCUAGAUAAAUGAUAAGGGUUCCGAUUUAUCGGGAUACAGAAUCCGGCUUAUAGGUCUGUUUUUUUU
rnacentral:RNase_P_RNA from 1 species